rnacentral:rRNA from 1 species
UACGUAGGGUGCGAGCGUUGUCCGGAUUUAUUGGGCGUAAAGAGCUCGUAGGCGGUUCGAUAAGUCGGACGUGAAAUCUCCACGCUCAACGUGGAGGGGCCGUUCGAUACUGUCGUGACUCGAGUCCGGUAGGGGAGUGUGGAAUUCCCGGUGUAGCGGUGAAAUGCGCAGAGAUCGGGAGGAACACCCGUAGCGAAGGCGGCACUCUGGGCCGGUACUGGACGCUGAGGAGCGGAAAGCGUGGGGAGCAAACAGGG